rnacentral:rRNA from 1 species
GAUGAACGCUAGCUACAGGCUUAACACAUGCAAGUCGAGGGGAAACGACAUCGAAAGCUUGCUUUUGAUGGGCGUCGACCGGCGCACGGGUGAGUAACGCGUAUCCAACCUGCCCAUCACUUGGGAAUAACCUUGCGAAAGUAAGACUAAUACCCAAUGACAUCCCACGAAGACAUCUGAAUGGGAUUAAAGAUUUGUCGGUGAUGGAUGGGGAUGCGUCUGAUUAGCUUGUUGGCGGGGUAACGGCCCACCAAGGCAACGAUCAGUAGGGGUUCUGAGAGGAAGGUCCCCCACAUUGGAACUGAGACACGGUCCAAACUCCUACGGGAGGCAGCAGUGAGGAAUAUUGGUCAAUGGGCGAGAGCCUGAACCAGCCAAGUAGCGUGCAGGAUGACGGCCCUAUGGGUUGUAAACUGCUUUUAUAAGGGAAUAAAGUGGGUCUCGUGAGACUUUUUGCAUGUACCUUAUGAAUAAGGACCGGCUAAUUCCGUG